GAUGAACGCUCGCUACAGGCUUAACACAUGCAAGUCGAGGGGCAGCAUGAUUGAAGCUUGCUUCAAUCGAUGGCGACCGGCGCACGGGUGAGUAACACGUAUCCAAUCUGCCGAUAACACGGGGAUAGCCUUUCGAAAGAAAGAUUAAUACCCGAUAGUAUAGUAUUUCCGCAUGGUUUCACUAUUAAAGAACUUCGGUUAUCGAUGGGGAUGCGUUCCAUUAGAUAGUUGGCGGGGUAACGGCCCACCAAGUCAACGAUGGAUAGGGGUUCUGAGAGGAAGGUCCCCCACAUUGGAACUGAGACACGGUCCAAACUGCUACGGGAGGCAGCAGUGAGGAAUAUUGGUGAAUGGACGAGAGUCUGAACCAGCCAAGUAGCGUGAAGGAUGACUGCCCUAUGGGUUGUAAACUUCUUUUAUACGGGAAUAAAGUGGAGUAUGCAUACUCCUUUGUAUGUACCGUAUGAAUAAGGAUCGGCUAACUCCGUG
rnacentral:rRNA from 1 species